UGGGGAAUAUUGCGCAAUGGGCGAAAGCCUGACGCAGCGACGCCGCGUGAGGGAUGAAGGUUUUCGGAUCGUAAACCUCUGUCAGAAGGGAAGAAACCGCACUGUGCUAAUCAGCAGUGCCUUGACGGUACCUUCAAAGGAAGCACCGGCUAACUCCGUGCCAGCAGCCGCGGUAAUACGGAGGGUGCAAGCGUUAAUCGGAAUUACUGGGCGUAAAGCGCACGUAGGCUGCUUUGUAAGUCAGGGGUGAAAUCCCACGGCUCAACCGUGGAACUGCCUUUGAUACUGCUUAGCUUGAAUCCGGGAGAGGGUGGCGGAAUUCUAGGUGUAGGAGUGAAAUCCGUAGAUAUCUGGAGGAACAUCAGUGGCGAAGGCGGCCACCUGGACCGGUAUUGACGCUGAGGUGCGAAAGCGUGGGGAGCAAACAGG
rnacentral:rRNA from 1 species